GCUCAUUCCUUCUAUUCUUCUCUCUAUACGUCGGUGUUCUAACCAAUAAUCACCGAGGCGAUAUUCUAUCCGAUCGAUUCGGGAACCAACUAACGAAUGCCAAAGUGCUGUACUUUGUGAAUUUUGUUAAACGAAUGCCAAAGUGCUGUCUGAAUAAGACUAUACUUUGUGAAUUUUGUUAAGGUUCUGAUCUCGUGACCAUCGUCAGGUUUGAUAUGGUUUUACACAAAUACGUAUUCCAUUCUAUUAAACUAUAUAUUUAACUAUCAGAAUACUCCCAACUAUACCCUUACAAUCAAACAAGCUGUUUAAUCAUUAGAAGGUUCAGAAUAAUAAAGUAUAUGCUUAAUUAUCAGAAGGAGUAGAAUCAAGAAGCUUGUUAAAUCAAUACUGCAUGCUUAUAAUGUGAGUCAUUCUCUUUUUACCAACUUGUUUUCAAAACCCUAUUUAUUUUCAAAAGUUAUAAUUACAGGGAUUAAGUAUUGGUCAUCUUGAAUCACUGGCAAGUGGGGUAUUGUGCACAUUACUAAUUUCUCACGAUUAGGUAAACAAACCUAACUGUGAUAAUCAUCACUACUUGGGUGAAAGGACCCAAUAGUGGUAUGACCAUCGUCACCAGGGUGUGACACGACGCUAGAUAAAAAUAAGAUAGAAGCCAUUGUAAUCGCUCUUAUGCUGUAAUUCAUAACAAUGUGUCUUUUUGUACAAACUGAAUGAACUCACCAGUAUUUCCUGCUGACCAAAUCUUUUUAAAACCCGUUUCAGCUAAUUACAGUAGAUUGGAACAAGAAUGAUGAUACAGCACCGAAAGGCUUAAAGAAGUGGCUUAUUUUAUCAAUUAAAUUAAAUUAAGAAAACCUGGUUUCAUAUAUUCCGGUUUAUCCCUUAUUAAAGCUACCUUUGUAAAACUUGGGUUUUAUCCCAUCUAGUAAAUAAAAUCCGGUGUUUUCUAAAACUCUGAUAUUUUUCCUAACUCACGGUCCUGAUGAAAUUUCUGCUGCAAUGUUUUUCUAAAUAACCACUGGUACCACUGAACUGGUUCGCGGCUCCCGAUUUCGUCCAGGGUGGGGUCGGGGGUCGUGACACUGAUCAUCAAGUUCGAAUAUCUCUGAAAUGGACUGUGGUGUGAUUUUGACUGUUUUACCCAUUAGGGAGGAAUUGAUGGCUGUGAUGUCUUCUCCUUGUGUUUCAAGAGUAGCAUUUUUCCAAAAUUCUCUCUGGGUUUUUAGGUAAAUCGGAGCAUCUGCUGUCAACAAAGUUUUGUACUUUGAAGAUGACAUAGUGUCAAUGAUGGAAUCGUAGAUAUCGAUGGUACCGGGUUUUGUGAGGAGACCCAGAUAAUUGUCAGGAGCUCUGUAUGGUAUUUCGAUGGGUGUGGCAAUCGAUGAAGGAUUUGAGAGAAAGAGAUGGAAACUGCUUUGAGAAAGGAAUUUUUGUGAAUUCGAUUCGACAGUAAAACCCUGUUUGGGGGUUUUGCUCAGGGUUUUAUAGUGAAAAAGUGAAUGCUGACGUGGCAGCGGUUACAAAAGAUCUGACCGCUAUGUACUAUCCACGUGCCAACCCUAGAUGAAAUGAAGGACAAGUGUUUUUAUGAAAGCAGUGGUUGCAACGGUAAUAAUGAAAGCAGUGGGUAAUUUUUAUGAUCAGUAGAUAGCAUAGCAGUGGAUAAAAACACUAAUUUUGAACAAAAGUGCUUAUCAAGGAAAGGAUAGAACAGGGGUUGACUUUCAGCAGUGGACAACAUUUUGAGCAGAACAGAUGUUUGAACAAAACAGUGGUUAUGGCAGUCUUUUAAGGAUUUAAUGAAAAAUUCAUUUUUAGCUAUUUUUAAGGAUGGAUUUUUGAUUUUCUGAAAACAUUUUAAUGCUUUUAUUUAUAGAAAAACAUGAUUUUGCCUGUUACUCCAUGUUUAGCAUGCCAAUCCUAGAGAUCAAGCUUUCAAAGGUGGAUGUGUCAAAUGCUUUGGUUAGCACAUCUGCCAGCUGAUGUUUAGUUGGAACAUGGUGUAGAGAAAUCAAACCUUUUUUGUAGCAAUCCCUCACAAAGUGAUGUCUGAUAUCAAUGUGUUUGGUGGUUGAAUGGGAAACUAGAUUUUUGAUG
rnacentral:lncRNA from 1 species